AUUGAACGCUGGCGGCAGGCCUAACACAUGCAAGUCGAACGAGUGGCGGACGGGUGAGUCAUGUCUGGGAAACUGCCUGAUGGAGGGGGAUAACUACUGGAAACGGUAGCUAAUACCGCAUACCAUCGGAUGUGCCCAGAUGGGAUUAGCUAGUCGGUGGGGUAAAGGCUCACCUAGGCGACGAUCCCUACCUGGUCGGCGAGGAUGACCAGCAACACUGGAACUGGGACACGGUACAGACUAGUACGGGAGGCAGCAGUGGGGAAUAUUGCACAGUGGGAGCAAGCGUGAUGCAGUCAUGCCGCGUGGAUGAAGAAGGCCGUCGGGGUGUAAAGGACGGUCAGCGGGGAGGCGUUACCCGUAGAAGAAGCAACGGCGAACUCCGUGCCAGCAGCCGCGGUAAUUC
rnacentral:rRNA from 1 species